GAUCAACGCUGGCGGCGCACAUAAGACAUGCAAGUUGAACGGACUUAAUCGAAAUAUUUCUAUUUUGAAGCGGUUAGUGGCGGACUGGUGAGUAACGCGUAAGGAACCUGCCUAUUAGAGGGGAAUAACAGUGAGAAAUCAUUGCUAAUACCGCAUAUGCCAUAGAUAUCACAUGAUAACAGUGGGAAAGGAGCAAUCCGCUAAUAGAUGGCCUUGCGUCUGAUUAGAUAGUUGGUGGGGUAACGGCCUACCAAGUCGACGAUCAGUAGCCGGACUGAGAGGUUGAACGGCCACAUUGGGACUGAGAUACGGCCCAGACUCCUACGGGAGGCAGCAGUCGGGAAUAUUGCGCAAUGGAGGAAACUCUGACGAAGUGACGCCGCGUAUAGGAAGAAGGUUUUCGGAUUGUAAACUAUUGUCGUUAGGGAAGAGAAAGGACAGUACCUAAGGAGGAAGCUCCGGCUAACUACGUG
rnacentral:rRNA from 1 species